UCUCUAGUAGCUCAGUUGGCAGAGCACUCGACUGUUAAUCGAGGUGUCGCAAGUUCGAGCCUUGCCUAGAGAGCCA
rnacentral:tRNA from 1 species